UUUCUUAUUUUUUUAAUUAAUGUAAAAAUAUAUGUGCCAAUAGUUGUUUAUAUUAAAGUUUAGAAUUAAUCAUCCUAAUCAUUAGAAUGAUUUGAAUUGUAAAUAUGAUUGAAUCUCGAUAAUUUGAAAUUAUAAUUUCAAAAUCGAAAUGUAUUUUUCAUAUUCUUCUAACAAUAAUUGGAAUAUUCAUCAUGCUUUCAUAUCGAGCUAAUCAUCUUUUAUCAAUCAAUUGUCAUUUGUCAGUCAAGUAUCUGUCUAAUUGUUAUACAUCUCAUAACUCAACUUGAUUUGUUUCACAUUUCCUUUUUCAUUUAUGCAUAUCUUUAAUUAUCACUUUCACGUUUACAUAUUUUAACUGUAGAUACGAAUGAUUAUUAUCUUUGAGCGUUCGAAAAAGAUAAGACAAAAUCUCUGCAAAUUUUAAUUCUCAUAUCUCAAGAUUCGUGUUAAAUCUUAUAUUUGUUUAUUCGAUAUUCGAUGAGAUUAAUAUCAAAAGAAAAUUGCAUCCACAAUUUUUUAAUUAUUUAAUCAAUUUAAUCACGCGCAAAUAUUGUGAAACGAAAUAAAAACAAUUUCAGAUGAAAAAGACUCUACAAAGAAGACUUUAAUAUCAUAUUAUAUCUGUAAUUUGUCAUUCGUCGGUUAAUUAACUAUUAGUUAUCUAAUUAGUUUAUAAUUAAACUUAUCAUGCAACAAAACUUUGAAACUAAAUGACACCGGGAAUGAGUAGAGUAAAAUCAUGUUCUAUAGAAGAUUUCGAUGUCGCAAUAUCGAAAGUAUAUUCGGACAUCGCGUUAACCACGGAAACAGUCGUCGAGAACGCGUGGAAGUAACUUUCGCCUUCGUGAGAGGCACGAAGCCUACAACACGCAGCAGCUGUAUCUACUUUUCGGGCAAGAACUUGACCCACAAUUCCGGAAAUGGAAAUAAAAGAAGAUUCAUUGCCAUCGUCCUCGUGGUAGUCGUCGCAAUGGCCGUGGUUCCCUCGACUUUCUCUCUCGCCGGGGAAAAUAUUUCGCCAGGAAUCGAGCGAAAUAAAAAAAAAAAAAGAGAAAAAUCAUUAUUUACAAGGGAGAAUACAACCAUGUAUGGUUGAAUGGCGUCGAAUUCGAUACAUGGAAGCGGCAACGAAAGCGAUGGAUGAAAAAGAAAAAGAAAAAAAGAGGGAAAAAUUUUAGACGUACACUUUCUAAAAGUACGCGCUUACGCGAGACGUGUAUAUUCAUGUAGAAAGGUUUUUAUGAAUUUUUCGAAGCAACAACCGGCCUCUAGAUCAAUUUCUAAUGUUGAAGAAUGAAGAAAAAUAAUAGAAGAAGAGUGAAUUUUACUUUUAUCGUUUUCUCUUUGCGCACGUUAUGUCGAAAUGUUGAUCGUAUCGAUGAUUUUUUUAUCGUUUUGACCGUUGUUUGAAUAAAUAUUUAUUUCGAGAACUUUUUAAUUAUGCAACUUUAUUCGUUGCAUAAUUAAAAUUUUAUAUUUAAUCAAGUUACGGUUCAAAAAAAAAGAAUCUCGAGUGAGUUAUAUCUAUUCUUAAUUACUUUUCGAGCAAUUCAUUUGGAAUAAUAACGAAAUAAUUUUAAUUUAUGUUUGUGUGAUACGUCCUAUAUAUUUUAUACUUUAUUUCAAAUUUAUCUAAGAAUAAUUUCUUACAGAAUGGAAGAGGACAAAAAUGGAAGUUAUAAAUGAAAACUUUGAUCGAGAUCGUUCUGCUUCGCUAUUAGAUUACUUCCUCUUACGUAGAGGAAGGAAAUCUGUCUUCAAAAGCGAAUUUUAUGAUCGACAAAUAUGAUAUACGAUGGCUGUUGGAAAAUAUCCGGUCAAAACGUAAUCACAUUAUUGAAACUUAAACUUUUCCAACGUUUUUAUAUCAAUUAAAUUUACGUAAAAAUUUACGUUACUUGUGUUAUUUACUAGUAGAUUAGUAGAUUAAUUAUAAUAAGAAAUAACAAAAUACAUCGAUUAUAUAAUUUCGCUUAAGUAUAUAUGCAAAUCAUCGUCUGACAUUAACACCUUCGCACGGCAAUAUGUCAGUAUAUAUAUUUUGCAUUUCACGACAUAUUUCUCAAUCUUUCUUAACCUUCUAUAUUUAUAUAUAUUUUCUUUUUCUACAGUGAUUAAAAUUAUUAAUGAUCUUGGAGAUUUGAGAAAAAAAUUGAUAGAACUAUAAAAGUACUUAUUAGACAAGUCUUAAGUUCGACAAAACCCUCAACACUUUCAACUUAACGUUCUAAAUACGAGAAAUAUGUGCAAAAUGUCGAGGAAAGUUUGAAGAAAGUAAAAGAAGAAAAAUAAAGAAAAAAAAAAACAAUUUAUAAUAAGAGAGCAAACGAAGAAAUAUCGUUUUCGAAAUAAAUACCAAGUAAUUUUUAUCCUUAUUAAUUGUCAUUGCCAUCAAUUGUGAUAUUAAUUCACCACGUACAAAUUGUGUACAAGGAAGCAGAAAAAAGUAAAAAGAUGAAAGAAAAGAAGAAACGAGAAAAAAACAAGUCCGACUUAUUCAUUGUCAAAUUAAGAAUCAACGCGUAACAAGUUUUUCAUCCAACAACGAUCACGAUAAAUAAUUCAACGUGUUUCAGGCCGCGAGUGAAAAGAAGGGUAAUGCGAUUCAGCAAAUCAGCUGGGAAACUUGAAGCGAGUAGACGCGUUUAUGUGAUAAUAGAAAAUUAUAUCUCGUGGAAAAAGAACGGGAAAAGGGAAUGUUAGCUUCUCGUGCGUGCCAGAAGAGCGAGAGAAGAUAAAACCGUAUGAAAGUUUCGGAUUCGUGUGAAAGUGCGCGGAAUCUUCUCUCGAUUCUGCUACACUCUUGAGAACCACGAGCAUCUCGUUGGAUAACGAAGACAAUCGAAAAGCAGAAUUGAAUGAAUUUUUAGACGAAUUAAAAAGGGAAUACGAUUUGAUUCAUUUGUUUUUUCGAUUGUGAAUUUUAUUCAUUUCUAAUAAUUUCCAAGUUGAAUUUUAAGUAGACAAUUUCUUUUUUUAUAAAAUAUUAUAAAUUAGUAGUAGAGUCGAGAAAUUGGAAUAAGAAAUUAUUGUUAAUUGGUUAUGCAAGUAAAACUUUAAUCUUAUAAUUCAAAUUAAUAACAAUUUUAUUAAUAUUUUUAUGUUCUAGUAAUUAUCAGGUCGGUGUAAAAAAGAUUUAUUUCAUGGCGAUUAGCUUCCAUAUUUAUCGAUAAUAAAUUUACCGGUAUCAACAGUUGGAAUAGAGAUUGCACAACUAUUAAUGUCAUUACAUGAAUCCGCAAGGAAUUGACACUCUCUUUGACGAGUCUAUGAUUGUAUCAUCGUGUUAUUUUAAACUUUUCCAGAUGAAAUAUCUUUAUACAAUUGAUCAAACAGAGAAAUUACACUUGUAAAACUGUAUUGAAUUUAAUUUAGAAGAGGAAAAAAAAAUACUCUAAUCAAAACAAGAUGUAGAUGUAAAUAUAUAUCAAGAGAUUCAACGAGACAAUUUAUUUUCAUUAAACGAUAUUUGAAAUAACUCAUUUGCAUUCAGCAUGCAAUAAUACAUGUUAUUACAUGACACAUAUUUAGCCUUAUGUGUCAAUCAACGGGAACACAUAAGCAUCAUUAUCUGAACUGCACAUAAAUGGAAACAAUGCUUAUAUCAUUUGCGACAGAUGUAUGAUAAAUUUAUUCCAUUUUGAUCUUCGAAAGCUAACAGUGGGUCAAAAUGAUUUAAAAAUACAUGUAUCGAUGAUCCAAAGUAAUUGAUCUAGAAACACUUAUUAAUAUCUACAUAAAAUAAUGAUAAAAUAAAAAUUGAUCAAUUAUAAUAAAAGAAAAAUACACAUCAUGCUGCAGAUAAUUAUUAAUUUAAAAAAUCUAGAAACUAGUUGAAACGUAUAUAUCGUGGAAAGGCAAACUAAUUGUGCGUAAGAAAUACAUAUCUGAUUAAUUUUUUAUUUUAACAUUAACAUUUUUUUUUAAAUAAACUUGUAAUUACACUUAAAUGAAACAAGCAAUUCAAUAAUUAAUAGUCUAUUUACAAAUAUUCUUCUACAAAAAAACAGAAUCAGAAUUGGCAUUCAACUAACAUUACCAAGUUUCAAUAGAACCUAGUGAAGAAAACUACUUUAACGUAACUAUUUUGUAUUAAACCACAAGUAUAUAGAAUACCUAUUA